ACUUAAAAUCCAUAACGACUUGGAAAUCAGCCAUUUUAUACACGUUUCCUUUAAAUACCACUUUCAUAUAAAUGAUAUUUUUAUCCGAAGGAAAAUGAUUUAAUCCUAUUUGAGAAAAACGAACAAGGACUAUUAGUAGAAAAAGUUUUCUUAUUUAAACCUAAAAGAGAAUGAGAUCUGUUAAAUAAGGUUGUCAUUAUAAAUAUUUUAAAGCCCGGUAAAAACCUGGGAAACUUUAAAAAUACCUAAUUCUUAAAACUGAUGUUAUAUUAGUAAUAUAAAGUAUAUGUAAUACGUUAUUUCAUCAUUUUACAAUGAUGUUUAGUAUAUAAAGAAACUAUUAUGGAUUGAUAGCCAUAUAUCAUAAGAAUAACACUAUUAAGAUACUUAUAUCUUUGAUUCUAGGAGAAAUCCAAUAUAUAAACGAAGCAAAUUGAAAUAUCUUAUUAACUUCAGGAAAAGAAAUCAAAUGAGAUUCUUUUAUUAGUAAAAAACUAAAAGAGAAUAGCCUAAAAAGUAAAAUGAAAAUAAUUUGUUUGACAAUAGGGAAACCUUUCUCUAAGGCUAAAUACGAUAUAUGAGCGAUAGAAUAGAAAGUAGCGUAAGGGAAUUCAUUGAAAUAGUAGUUUUAUAAGCAGCUCAAGUAUGUGUUAAUAAACAUAUUAGAGCGUACCUUUUGCAUAAUGGGUCAGCAAGUUAAUAUUAGAUGCAAGAAGCCAAUGGCUAGUCCCAGACAAACCAAUUAUUAAGUAAUGAUUAAGUAUCUAAUAUUAGACCCGAAGCCUAGUGAUCUUACCAUAAUCAGGAUUAUAAAAGUCCGAACAGGUUAUCGUUGUAAAGAUAUCUGAAGAAUUGUGGUAAGUUAGUGAAAGACAAAACUGACUAGGAUAGCUGGUUUUCCGCGAAACCUAUUUAAGUAGGUAGUUUGAAUUAUAUCAUUGCAGGUACAGAAUUGUGAUCUCAGACAAGUUAUGAUGUACGUGUCUCAGUUUAUUCUUAGACAUGUACUAUCAGUUUGUAUACAUUGGGGGAUCGUGAAGAUUUUAUCAGUGAGGAUUUGCUCUCGGAAGGGCAAUGAUAAAUAUUAAACUCUCAGACAUAGUACGAUAAGGUUGUAUGUCUAAAGGGAAACAGCCCAGAACAAAAGUUAAAGGUUCCAAAAUAGUUGUUAAGUGAAAUUAAGGAAGUUUUUUUCAUAUACAAUCAGUAAAUAGGCUUAGAAGCGGCCAUUUUUUAAAGAUCUCGUAACAGAGCACUGAUUAAUUAAUUAUUAAUAAUAAUGUUAAACGCGCCGAUGAUUUAACGGAUCUAAACAAUAUACCGAAACUUUGUACAUAGAAUAAAGUAUUUUAAUAAAUUAUUUAUCUAUGGGGUAGCGGAACGUUGGAUAACAAUAAGAAUUUUUAUCGUAGAUAAAUUAAACAUACCGAUUAUUUAAAUUGGUUAAUAUAACACUCCAAGUGAGAAUGCUGACAUGAGUAACGAAAAAGGGAACAUUUACCCUCGCCUUAAGCUUAUGGUAUUUAAAUUAAGUAACGGCCCCUAAGUUUAUUGAUCUGGCCUAAGGGAUUAAACGAUGGGAAAAUCUUUAUGUAUAUUUUUAAACUUUUUAAAGUUCUGGAAAAUAAUAUAUAUUUUAUAACCGUACCUAGAUACUAACUCAAGUAAGCAAGUAGAGUAUACAAAGGCGUUAGAGAUAACAAUCAUUAAGGAACUCGGCAAAAUGACACCGUAACUUCGGGAUAAGGUGUGCCAUCUAAUUAGGUUAUAUAGUAAUCUGCACCGUGGUAGCCGCGGAAGUGUACAGAGGCACUAGCCCUCCCAGGCACAACCGCUCACAGGUACCAUAGCAUUUGAAAUAUAAUCAAUUAAAGAGGAGACAUAAAAUGGUGUUGUACGACUGUUUAAUUAAAACAAAGCACUUUGCAUAAGACUUUAAGUCAAAGUAUUGAGUGUGAUUUCUGCCCGAUGUUGGCUGGUUAACGGAUUUUCUUAACUGAAUUUAUUUAGGUUAGGUUUUGAAGGAACCCCCAAUCAAUGGCGGCCUUACCGAUGAGGGUCCUAAGGUAGCGGAAUACCCUGGCCGUUAAAUGCGGUCUUGCAUGAAUGAUUUAACGAUACAACAGCUGUCUCAAUGAUUGUCUCAGUGAAAUUGGAAUAACUGUGCAGAUACAGUUUUCUUCUAGUUAGACGAGAAGACCCUAUGCAGCUUUACUGUUGCUAGUAAUUGGAUAUAAUCGGGCAAGUUGUAGUAUAUAAGGUAAUUGGUUAGAUACAAGUGAAAUACCUUUGCUUAGCCUAUUAUAUCUUAAGAAUGAUGUAUAUAAGUUAUAUCGAGGAUAUAACUUUACAUAAUUCUACAUAACUUAUCCAGAAAGAUAUAGGAGUAUAUAUUCAGGAAACAUUUGCUAGUGGAUAGUUUAUGCGGGGCACAGAUCCCAUAAAAAGUACCUGGGUGUAUCCAAAGUUAAUAUUGUAAAUUCAUUUUUCUUUUCGGAGAACUACUAAUGAUUUAAUACUUAUUAUGUAUAAACAAUUAAUUUGUUUAUUAUGUAUUAGUAUUUCAUAUUUUACUUUGUAAUAGAUUAAAUUUAAUUUAUUCACUUAUGAUUCUAUUAAGUUAGAUCAAUUUUUUUUUUAUAGUAAGGUUUUAACUAUAUGGAAAAUAGUCAUUAGUAAAGUAUUAUAAAUAUAUUACUUUAAGUUGUCUUUAAGUACAAUUUAUAGUUUGCCUAA
rnacentral:rRNA from 1 species